UCUCCGUUGGUGAACCAGCGGAGGGAUCAUUACCGAGUUCUUCUACUCCCAACCCCCUGUGAACUUAUACCUUUACUGUUGCUUCGGCGGGUUAACGCCCCGGAAGGCCCAAAAAGCCCCCGGAACCAGGCGCCCGCCGGGGGACCCAAACUCUUGUAUUUCUUACUUUGCAUGUCUGAGUGGAAACAUAAACAAAUGAAUCAAAACUUUCAACAACGGAUCUCUUGGUUCUG
rnacentral:misc_RNA from 1 species